UGCUUUAUCUGGCAGGGGAGACACCAUGAUCAUGAAGGUGGUUUUCCCAGGGUGAAAAUGGAUGCAUUGCACUCCGUGUGUGCUGACGUGACCCCUGUGAUUUCCCCAAAUGCGGGAAACUCAACUGCAUAAUUUGUGUUAGUGGGGGACUACGUGCGUGCAAGCUAACA
rnacentral:snRNA from 1 species